UGCAGGCUCUGGACAGCUUUGGUCAC
rnacentral:piRNA from 1 species